UAAUAGUUAACUCAUACGCAGUUGAAACGUUUGCCUACGUUUGCCGCUAGGGGCGCUGUCCAACUGCAUACAAAUUUGAGUUA
rnacentral:pre_miRNA from 1 species